GACGUAGGGUGCAAGCGUUGUCCGGAAUUAUUGGGCGUAAAGAGUUCGUAGGCGGUUACUUAAGUCUGGUGUUAAAGCCCGAUGCUCAACGUCGGCAUGGCAUUGGAAACUGGGUAGCUAGAGUGUGUCAGAGGUUACGGGAAUUCCUGGUGUAGCGGUGAAAUGCGUAGAUAUCAGGAGGAACACCAGCGGCGAAGGCGCCGCUCUGGGCCGUAACUGACGCCGAGGAGCGAAAGCAUGGGUAGCAAACAGG
rnacentral:rRNA from 1 species